rnacentral:rRNA from 1 species
CAGUGGCCGUACCCCCAAAACCGACACAGGUGGGUAGGAUGAGAAUUCUAAGGCGCUUGAGAGAACUCGGCUGAAGGAACUAGGCAAAAAUGAUACCGUAACUUCGGGAGAAGGUAUGCCCUUGGUAGGUGAAGGUCCUCGCGACUGGAGCCGAAGAGGGUUGCAAUAAAAUGGUGGCUGCGACUGUUUAGCAAAAACAUAGCACUCUGCAAACUCGAAAGAGGACGUAUAGGGUGUGACGCCUCCCCGGUGCUGGAAGGUUAAUUGAUGGGGUUAUCUCACGAGAAGCUCUUGAUCGAAGCCCCAGUAAACGGCGGCCGUAACGAUAACGGUCCUAAGGUAGCGAAAUUCCUUGUCGGUAAGUUCCGACCUGCACGAAUGGCGUAACGAUGGCCACACUGUCUCCAGCCGAGACUCAGUGAAAUUGAAAUUGCGGUGAAGAUGCCGUAUACCCGCGGCUA